GGAGGGGAAGCUUAACACAUGCAAGUCGAACGGUCUCUUCGGAGAUAGUGGCGGACGGGUGAGUAACGCGUGAGAAUUAGAAUCAGGUCGGGGACAACCACUGGAAACGGUGGCUAAUACCGUGUAUGUGCCGAAAGGUGAAAGAUUUAUUGCCUGAAGAUGAGCUCGCGUCUGAUUAGCUAGUUGGUGUGGUAAGAGCGCACCAAGGCGACGAUCAGUAGCUGGUCUGAGAGGAUGAUCAGCCACACUGGGACUGAGACACGGCCCAGACUCCUACGGGAGGCAGCAGUGGGGAAUUUUCCGCAAUGGGCGAAAGCCUGACGGAGCAAUACCGCGUGAGGGAGGAAGGCUCUUGGGUUGUAAACCUCUUUUCUCAGGGAAUAAAAAAAUGAAGGUACCUGAGGAAUAAGCAUCGGCUAACUCCGUGCCAGCAGCCGCGGUAAUACGGAGGAUGCAAGCGUUAUCCGGAAUGAUUGGGCGUAAAGCGUCCGCAGGUGGCACUGUAAGUCUGCUGUUAAAGAGCAAGGCUCAACCUUGUAAAGGCAGUGGAAACUACAGAGCUAGAGUACGUUCGGGGCAGAGGGAAUUCCUGGUGUAGCGGUGAAAUGCGUAGAAAUA
rnacentral:rRNA from 1 species